GCAGAGGCCUGGCCCGAUCCCCCUGCCUGUGUCCAGGUCCUGGACACCUCCGUUUGCUCAGGACAAUGGGAACACUGUGCCCUGGUAGAGUGCAGGAUGGCAGGACGCCGCCUGCCAAGGCCCCUGCUACUCCUCUCAGCAUGGCAGGGCGAGGAGAGGAUGAAAGACGAUGCUGAGGAAUGAGAAAAUCCACCAGGGCAGGCUGUGUUCCAGCUGCAGCCCCACCUCAAAAAUGGCCUCCUCGAGUCUCCUCCAAGUCGGCCCACAUCCUCCCCGGCUCGGGGGUGGGGUGCAGGAUGCAGGGAGACGAUGCGCACACCCCUGACUCUGGAUCCUGGCUCACUGGCUGUGUGACCUGAGACCAGUGUCUUCCUCUCUCUGAGCUCCAUUUCUCCAGCUGCAAAAACAGGGCUGAGAACCCAACCUGCAGGGUGUUGGGAGGAUUCCAUGGCACCUGAUUAGCCCUGAGCUAACUGCUGCCAAUCCUCCUUUUUUUGCUGAGGAAGACUGGCCCUGAGCUAACAUCCGUGCCCAUCUUCCUCUACUUUAUACGUGGGACACCUACCACAGCAUGGCUUGCCAAGCGGUGCCAUGUCCACACCCAGGAUCCAAACUGGCGAACCCCGGGCCGCUGAAGCAGAACGUGUGCGCUUAACCGCUGCGCCACCGGGCCAGCCCGCAAGGACCGACUUUUGAGAAACAAAUCAGACCGUGAAGAAGGGACUUAACCUCUCUGGGCCUCCACUUAACCAUCUGUAAAAUAGGGCCAAUACUUCUUAUCUCUUUAGGGCUGUUGUAAAGAUUAAGGGAGGUGAUUAUGGAAGGCACUCAGGGCAGGACCUCGGAGGUGGUCAGUGUGUUCCUGUAGGUUCCGCAAGAGGAGUAUUUGCGCUGGCCUUAGAGGGGGAGAAGUGCUUUGCUAAAAGGAAAAGUGGGGAGAGGCAGGUCGCCG
rnacentral:lncRNA from 1 species